rnacentral:tRNA from 1 species
GGAAGAUUAGCUCAGCUGGGAGAGCGUUGCCCUUACAAGGCAAAUGUCAUGGGUUCGAGUCCCUUAUCUUCCACCA